UAGAGUUUGAUCCUGGCUCAGAAUCAACGCUGGCGGCGUGCCUAACACAUGCAAGUCGAGCGAGAAAAGGGGGGCAACUCCCUGAGUAAAGCGGCGCACGGGUGAGUAACACGUGGGUAAUCUGCCCUGGAGUGGGGAAUAACACCGGGAAACCGGUGCUAAUACCGCAUACGAUAGCGGGAUCUGCGGAUUUCGUUAUGAAAGGAGCAAUUCGCUCCAGGAGGAGCCCGCGGCUGAUUAGCUAGUUGGUGAGGUAAUGGCUCACCAAGGCUACGAUCAGUAUCCGGUCUGAGAGGACGGUCGGACACACUGGAACUGAGACACGGUCCAGACUCCUACGGGAGGCAGCAGUGGGGAAUUUUUGGCAAUGGGGGCAACCCUGACCAAGCAACGCCGCGUGGGUGAUGAAGUCUCUUGGAACGUAAAACCCUUUCGACGGGGAAGAAACCGCAAGGUUGACGGUACCCGUAGAAGAAGCCCCGGCUAACUCCGUGCCAGCAGCCGCGGUAAUACGGGGGGGGCAAGCGUUGUUCGGAAUUACUGGGCGUAAAGGGUGCGUAGGCGGUUCGUUAAGUUAGAUGUGAAAACUCUGGGCUCAACCCAGAGCCUGCAUCUAAAACUGGCGGGCUAGAGUUCUGGAGGGGGUAGCGGAAUUCCUGGUGUAGCGGUGAAAUGCGUAAAUAUCAGGAGGAACACCCGUGGCCAAAAGCGGCUACCUGGACAGAAACUGACGCUGAAGCACAAAACUAGGGGAGCCAACAGGAUUAAAUCCCUGGUAGCCCACCCUAAACGAUGGAACCUUGGUGUGACCGGGAUUAAUCCCGUCUGCCCAACCUACGCAUUAAUAUCCCGCCGGGGAGUACGGCC
rnacentral:rRNA from 1 species